UUUUGGAUUUCUUUUUAUUAUCGAUCUAACACUUCUUUCCCCCUGCAGUCACUGAACAGUGCGUUAAAUGACUAGUGUUCUCUCCUCCACUUAACUGAAUGGGUGAAUUCAAGGUCAGACACAAGCACAUUUCGCUCAGGGUCAUCUUAUAUAGAGCCCAAGCUGGGAUAACGAGAGAGGCGGUGCACAGCCCCAUGGGAGGUGACGUCACCAACAGCAGUCGGCUCCCUCUCUCUUUCUGUGGCAGUAACCACCAUUAUGACAACACCUGCAUGGAUCUAGUGCAUCACAAGGAAAUCAGCUUGGUUUGCCAUGGAAACCAUUAAUAGCAUGCUACGUCAACAUUCUAAAGACAGAUCGUCGGUGCCAGGCGUCUCGAAUCAAGUAUCUCAAACAGCUGCCCCUCCCGGGCUUUCACACAUGACAGUGUCUAGAGUUUACCGAGAAUGGUGCGACAAACAAAAAACAUCCGGUCAGCAGCAGUCCUGUAGGUGAAAACAGCUUGUUGAUGAGAGAGGUCGAAGGAGAACAACAAUAAUCACGCAAGCUAACUGGCGGGCCACAAACAGACAAAUAACGGCGCAGUACAACAGUGGUGUGCAGAACGGUAUCUCGGAACGCACAACUCGAUCCUUGUCACAGAUGGGCUAUUGCAGCAGACGACCACACCGGGUUCCACUCCUAUCAGAUAAAUCAAGAAGAUGCAGCUCCAGUGGGCACACGAUUACGAACACUGGACAAUUGCGGAGUGGAACAUGACAGCGAGUUCAGUUUACUUGAGUGGCCUGCGCAGGACCCUGUCCUCAAUCCAAUAGAGCAUCUUUGGGAUGUUAUGGAACGGGCUUGGGCAGUACAGAAUGGAAUGGCAGUACAGCAUGAAUGUACUGCUGUCCAAUAUGCAGCAACUGCGUGAUGCCAUCAUGUCAGUAUGGACCAAUAUCCCUAUACCAAACCACACCCUCCCAGCCAUCAUCUGCUUGGUCCCUCUGGCCAAGACCAGGAUCAUGAAGCCUCAGUGGUGAGCUGGAACAUGCAGUGGCUGAAGCUAUGGCCCCUUUGGGCCUGGAGGUCCUGGAGGUCGUAGUGGGAGAGCAACAUGAGAACCCCCCCGGAGCUCCAGCCUUGAGAUCACCAGGGCCUGACUACGUCCUUGUUGCCCCUGUGGUGGUGCCAACAUAUGUGGAGUCAGCCACAGCAGCAACCCGACCAGGCAGUCCCCAGCCACUCACCAAAGGAGAACACCUCUAUGGUUUCAAGAAUCAGCCAUUAGUCACCCAGGAGACUUUCAGCCAGAGGGCCAGCUCUCCAAGAAGAAGAGAAGAUUGGAGGACUGUGACAGUUUUCUCAUCCCUAUGAUGCCACCAUGGGUUCCCUGUAAGAGAAUGAGCCAGUGCCACCCAUCAAGCACAUCCUGAAAGAAACUCAAAAGGUCAGAUAAGGUCAGUGACAGUGUGAUCGUCUCAAGUGUGACCGGGGUCACCCGGAAGAGGACACUGGAAUCAGCCGUUUGACCAGGAAGUUCAGUGUCUGAAGGAACCAAUCAGAAGAGACAGAGGGUCUGAUCAUCAACUGAACUGAUGUCAACUGAUCUCAACUAACCUUUCAUUGCAUGCUGUUGCAUUUGUUUUGUUUUUUGCUUUCGCUUUUGUGGC
rnacentral:lncRNA from 1 species